AGAACUUAGCAGAGAUGCUUUGGUGCCUUCGGGAACUCUGAGACAGGUGCUGCAUGGCUGUCGUCAGCUCGUGUUGUGAAAUGUUGGGUUAAGUCCCGCAACGAGCGCAACCCUUAUCCUUUGUUGCCAGCGGUCCGGCCGGGAACUCAAAGGAGACUGCCAGUGAUAAACUGGAGGAAGGUGGGGAUGACGUCAAGUCAUCAUGGCCCUUACGAGUAGGGCUACACACGUGCUACAAUGGCGCAUACAAAGAGAAGCGACCUCGCGAGAGCAAGCGGACCUCAUAAAGUGCGUCGUAGUCCGGAUUGGAGUCUGCAACUCGACUCCAUGAAGUCGGAAUCGCUAGUAAUCGUAGAUCAGAAUGCUACGGUGAAUACGUUCCCGGGCCUUGUACACACCGCCCGUCACACCAUGGGAGUGGGUUGCAAAAGAAGUAGGUAGCUUAACUUUCGGGAGGGCGCUUACCACUUUGUGAUUCAUGACUGGGGUGAAGUCGUAACAAGGUAAGCGUAGCGAG
rnacentral:rRNA from 1 species